rnacentral:rRNA from 1 species
GUGGGGAAUAUUGGACAAUGGGCGAAAGCCUGAUCCAGCCAUGCCGCGUGUGUGAAGAAGGUCUUCGGAUUGUAAAGCACUUUAAGUUGGGAGGAAGGGCAGUAAGUUAAUACCUUGCUGUUUUGACGUUACCGACAGAAUAAGCACCGGCUAACUUCGUGCCAGCAGCCGCGGUAAUACGAAGGGUGCAAGCGUUAAUCGGAAUUACUGGGCGUAAAGCGCGCGUAGGUGGUUUUGUAAGUUGGAGGUGAAAUCCCCGGGCUCAACCUGGGAACGGCCUCCAAAACUGCAUGACUAGAGUACGGUAGAGGGUAGUGGAAUUUCCUGUGUAGCGGUGAAAUGCGUAGAUAUAGGAAGGAACACCAGUGGCGAAGGCGACUACCUGGACUGAUACUGACACUGAGGUGCGAAAGCGUGGGGAGCAAACAGGAUUAGAAACCCGUGUAGUCC